rnacentral:rRNA from 1 species
CAAUGGUCGAAAGUCUGACGGAGCAACGCCGCGUGAGUGAUGAAGGCUUUCGGGUCGUAAAACUCUGUUGUUAGGGAAGAACAAGUGCUAGUUGAAUAAGCUGGCACCUUGACGGUACCUAACCAGAAAGCCACGGCUAACUACGUGCCAGCAGCCGCGGUAAUACGUAGGUGGCAAGCGUUAUCCGGAAUUAUUGGGCGUAAAGCGCGCGCAGGUGGUUUCUUAAGUCUGAUGUGAAAGCCCACGGCUCAACCGUGGAGGGUCAUUGGAAACUGGGAGACUUGAGUGCAGAAGAGGAAAGUGGAAUUCCAUGUGUAGCGGUGAAAUGCGUAGAGAUAUGGAGGAACACCAGUGGCGAAGGCGACUUUCUGGUCUGUAACUGACACUGAGGCGCGAAAGCGUGGGGAGCAAACAGGAUUAGAUACCCUGGUAGUCCACGCCGUAAACGAUGAGUGCUAAGUGUUAGAGGGUUUCCGCCCUUUAGUGCUGAAGUUAACGCAUUAAGCACUCCGCCUGG